rnacentral:rRNA from 1 species
UACGAAGGGGACUAGCGUUGUUCGGAAUUACUGGGCGUAAAGCGCACGUAGGCGGAUUUGUUAGUCAGGGGUGAAAUCCCGGGGCUCAACCUCGGAACUGCCUUUGAUACUGCAAAUCUCGAGUCCGAUAGAGGUGGGUGGAAUUCCUAGUGUAGAGGUGAAAUUCGUAGAUAUUAGGAAGAACACCGGUGGCGAAGGCGGCCCACUGGAUCGGUACUGACGCUGAGGUGCGAAAGCGUGGGGAGCAAACAGA